AAAUUGAAGAGUUUGAUCAUGGCUCAGAUUGAACGCUGGCGGCAGGCCUAACACAUGCAAGUCGAACGGUAACAGGAAGAAGCUUGCUUCUUUGCUGACGAGUGGCGGACGGGUGAGUAAUGUCUGGGAAACUGCCUGAUGGAGGGGGAUAACUACUGGAAACGGUAGCUAAUACCGCAUAACGUCGCAAGACCAAAGAGGGGGACCUUCGGGCCUCUUGCCAUCGGAUGUGCCCAGAUGGGAUUAGCUAGUAGGUGGGGUA
rnacentral:rRNA from 3 species